rnacentral:lncRNA from 1 species
GCGUCUAUAAACCAAGUUACAAAUGCAACUAUACCGUUUAGGGGUAAACAGUUGGCGCGCAUCGUGGGGCAUAGACAAUUGUGUAAUUUCUUUGAUCUAUUCAUCUGUUACUAACGCAAUUUGAUUCUUUUCUCUAGUAACAGAUAUGCCAACUAAUGAUAUGACCAAUUCUUACAAUGUUUGAACACACAACGAACGUGAGGAUGUGUUCUAGCGUGAUGAUUCAACUAGCAAGACUCACAAUGAAGGAGAUGAAACAACGCCUAUUCGUGAAAAAUAAAAUCCUCGACAUGUGAGAAAUUCAACUCCUGAUGAUGUGGAUGUUAAACAUAUUGUUGAAACAGUCAAAAUUUUGAGGGAAUAACAAAGGAAAAUCAUGAAGCAUCUCUUAAGACAAGACCGGGUAAUGACAGAGUUGAAACAGGCGCUUUCGGUUGCGUCCAAUAAUUUCAAUGGUGGAAUUCGAGUUCUUCCCAGCUUUCCUGCAUAUCAAACAAUGCCAAGAAUCGGUAACAUUGCCCUAAGAGAGGAGUUUGGUUUUAAUGAAAAUAAAGCAAGUAGUGGAGGUAGUGGAUCCAGGAAUGACAACAAUGUUAAUGACCUUUUCAAGACUAAGCUCAUGAUAUUCAUGAGGGAAACGAAUGAAUGAAUGGAUCAAAAGGCUAAAGAAUUCCAUGCUCGGAUGGAUCAGAUCCCGGGAGAACCACCGGUGUUGAAGGGACCAAAUUCAAAGAAGUAUACACAAUUGCCGUUCAAACCAAGUGCGACCCUAGAACUGAUUUCGAAAAUAUUCAAUAUGCCCAAUAUACGAAGUAUAAUGGGACUUUAGAUCUAUAAGAGCAUAUCACAACUUACACUACGACAGUAAAGAGAAAUGACUUGGCCGUGCAUGGGAUCAAAUCUGUUUUGUUGAAGAAAUUUGGCAGAACCUUAAUGAAGGGUGCUUUAACUUAGUAUUCUCUUUAAGCUGAACAUUCCAUUGACUCUUUUGAAAUGCUCGCAGAUUCUUUCAUCAAAUCUCAUGUUGGAUCAAGAAAAUUCCAAUCUAGGAAAGCAGACAAAUUCAGAAUCUCUCAAAGAGAGACUGAACUGUUGCGAGAGUUUAUAAUUUGAUUUCAAAAGGAGAUGAUGUUGUUGCCGGUAGUAUAAGAUGAGUAGGCGGCUAAAGCGUUCACCAAAGGUCUAAAUCCACUAAGCUCCGUUUCCUCCAGAAAGUUAAAGGAAAGUUUGUUGGAAUUCAGGCAACCACAUGGGCAGAUGUCCAUAAUCAUUAUGAAUCAAAGAUCAAAAUCGAAGAUGAUCAACUGAGAUCUUAGGUGUCAGCAAAGGGUUGCAAUUGUGACCAGAAUCAGGAAAAAUUUAAAAUGAUUUCGACUCGGACCGGAGGUCUUCUAGGAGCCAUUUUCAGCCUUACAAAAGAGUUGAUAGGCGUAAGAGUGCAGCAUUUUAGUCAUCGAACAGGUUUGCUUCCGAUAGAAGGAUGGAUCGUGGUCGGAAUAGUAGAACUUUACAAUAGAAGGAACCAUUAGGGUCCCCGGAUUUAGCAUACCCUCAGUUAUCUGACUACAACUUCAACAAUAGUUUAGUAGAGCAGGUUUAGGCUGUGAGAAACAUUAAGGAGGCAAGAUUUUUGAAACUAAUUCGAUUGGAUCCUAGUCAAAGGGAUCUUAAUAUGCAGUGUGAAUUCCAUGGAACGCAUGGCCAUAGAAUUGGGGACUACCGACACCUUCCUGAAGAGGUUGCAACGCUAUUGAAGAAUGGUCACCUUAGAGAAUUUAUGAGUGAUCCGGCCAAAAACAAUUAUGGAAAAAUCGAGAUGUUGCGGAGCCAUCCAAAUUGAUUGCAGGGUCACCACGUCUAACAAUAAACAUGAUCUUUGGUGGAGAUUAAAUAAUUGGAGUUACAUCUUCAGCACCAAAGAAGACAAAUAUAUUAGUAACUCACGACAAGAGGAUUCGUAAAGCAUCAGAAGAUGAUGAAAUCAUAUUUACGGAAGAAGAUGUUGAUAGCCUCUUUUUACCAUACAAUGAUGCUUUGAUAAUAUCACUUAAUGUCUUAGAUUUUAAAAUUAAACGUGUAUUGAUGGAUCCAAUUAGUUCAGCCAAUAUCAUUCAAUGUAGAGUUUUGGAACCAGCAAAGUUAAUCAGAAACAUAAUUCUGGAAACAAAGCUUCUGACCGGGUUCACUUGUAACGAUCUGAGGAGAGAUUUUACUGGCAUGCAUACUGAAGGGGUAAUUAUCUAAGGAGAGAUUUUACUACCAUGCAAAUUGAAGGCAUAACGAAGACCACUCUGUUUGAAGUGGUAGAUGGUGAAAUGAGAUACAACGUAAUCCUUGGAAGGCCAUGGAAUAAUGAAAUGAAGGUUGUGUCAUUGACUUACCAUCAGCUGCUGAAGUUCCCCACACUAGAAGGUGUCAAAUAGAUUAGAGGACAUCAACUAGCUGCGAGAGAAAUGAAUGCAGUUACCUUGUCCAGUAGCAAGGCAAAAUGAACAAGAAAAUAGCAACUACAGGAACCGGUGCCCUCAUCCAUUCUGAUUGAAGAUAAUGGAGGAGAAGAGUCAUCGAAUUUCUAUCAAGUACUAAGGUCUUUUCAGGUAUCAGAGGAAACAGAUGCAACCAAAUCGAUCGUAGAGGAGCUCGAACUAGUGGCCUUGUUCACGGAGUUUUUAGAAAGGAAGUUCCACUUGGGAAUGGGGCUGAGCCAAGAACUAAGACUUAAAAUUAUUGAUUUUCUUAAAGCUAAUGUCGAUUGUUUUGCGUUGUCUCAUUAUGAUAUGGUAGGUAUUCUGUUGGAAAUAGCUGUCCACAAGCUAAGUUUGGACCCUAACUUCACUCUAAUAAGGAAGAAGAAAUGACCGAUAGUAGAGGUUAGAAGCAAGUUUGUUAAAGAAGAGGUAACUCGGUUACUGAAUAUUGGUUCAAUUCGAGAGGUAAAUUAUCUUGAUUGCUUAGCUAACAUGUUUGUAUUAUAAAGAUUUGAAUAAUUCAUUGCCCUAAGGACUUUUUUCCAUUGUCGAAUAUUGACCAAAUGAUUGAUGCUAUGGCCGAGCAUGUGUAUACAAUUUCUUGAUGCCUAUUCCGUGUAUAAUCUAAUUAUGAUGCACCCAGAAUAUCAAGAAAAAAAUCUCAUUUAUCACAAAUUUUGGCACAUACUGCUAUAAUGUUAUGCCUUUUGAGCUUAACAAUGCCGGAUCCACUUACUAAAGGCUUGUUAAUAAGAUUUUUGAACAACAAAUUAGUAAAACUAUGGAGGUUUACAUUGAUGAUAUGUCAGUUAAGUCUCUUAAUACAGGAGAUCAUUUGGCUCAUCUACAAGAGAUAUUUGAUAUUUUGAGGAAAUACAACAUGAAGCUCAAUCCUGAAAAAUGGCUUUUGGGGUUGGUUCCAGGAAGUUUCUUGGCUAUUUGGUUUCACAACGAGGAAUUGAAGUGAAUCCCGACAAUGGGCAAUGAUAGACAGACCAAAGAUUUACGCAGUCGUUGUGUGCUUGCUUUGUGCACCGGCACAGCAGAAUUCGAAGCUGCUCGGCGUACUAGCCCUAUAACGGAGUCAGACCCAACCACACUCUCUUAGUAUAAAGCGGAGCAGGACCGUUGGCCUGAUCUGACUCCCCACCCAACCAGAUCAAGGCCAUAGAAGAUAUCCCUGACAAAUUAGCAAGUGUAAAAGAAGUUCGGAGGUUGUCAGGCUGGUUGGUGGUACUUAGUAGGUUCAUUUCGAGGUCUUCAGAAAAGUAACACCAUUUCUUUUCACUCUUGAAAAAGAAGAAUGAUUUUUCGUGUACUCCAAAUACUAGAAGGCAUUAAAAGACCUAAAGAGGUACUUGUCUAGUCAAAACUGAAGGAAUGGGAGUAGUUAUUAAUUUAUUUGGCAGUUUCGGAGGUUGCGGUGAUUACAGUUCUGAUCCGAGAAGAGGAAGUUAUGCAAUUUCCUAUUUAUUAUGUUAGUAAAGUUUAUCAGGAGCGCAAACACGUUGUCCGCACCUUGAAAAGUUGGCCCUAACUCUCGUAGUCGCCUCUCAAAAUCUUAGGCCUUAUUUUUAAUGUCACCCCAUAGCCGUUGUGACGACAUUUCCCUUGGGUAACAUCCUUCACAAGCUUAAAUUAUCAGGUCGAUUGGGUAAAUGACAGUCGAAGUUAGUGAAUUUGACAUUGAAUAUAAACCUAGGACUGCAAUCAAGUCACAAGUUUUGACCAACUUUGUAGUUGAUUUUAGUCUGGUAUGAUGCCUUUAGCUGCUAAGGAAGCAAUUUUAUUAUUGGAAAAUGUUUUCGGUGUAUGGACCUUGUUUACAGAUGGGGCCUCCAACGUAAAAGGAUAUGGUCUCGACAUAGUGUUAAUCACACCUUCGAGAGAGACCUUGAGACAGGCCUUUAGAAAUAUACCUUUGACUAAUAAUAGAGCCGAGUAUAAGGCUUUAAUUGAAGGACUUGAAUUAGAUCGAGGAUCGCAUGCAAUGAUACUUGAAUAAGGUACAAGUUUUGCUUUCCCAAUUCAGGGAAUGGUCGAUUAUCCAUAUCCCAAGGGAAGAGAACGUAGAGGCGGACACAUUGGCCAAUUUAGGAUCGUCUAAGGAAAUUAAAGGAGUUGAUUUUGGUGCAGUUGUUCAGCUGUUGCAUUUGGUACAAGACGUGGAUUGGUAUUGCGAAAGUUGUUCGCUAUUGCCUUGUUGACAGUCAAUCACAUCGGAGGUCGUCUUAAGGAAUGUUGGCUCGAUGUUUAGGGACAUCGGAAGAUGACUAUGUGAUGAGAGAAGUUCACGAAGGAGUGUGCAUAAAUCAUUCUGGUUCACACUUAUUAAGGGCUGUGUCACACCUCCUUUUUCUACCUUGAAGGGUAUAAGGGAGUUGUUUCCAACUUAAAGUGACAAUCAAAACGGGAUUAAUUAUUUAAAGACUCAGAUUCGCCACUUUUAUGGUGUCCCAAGUCACCGGUUCAAAUCCCGAAUCGAGGAAAAGAUUGACUCUGUUUCACAGUCCGCGAACACAGAAAUCCAGGUAAGGAAUUUUGUUAACCCGGAAGAAGGUGUUAAGCAUUCCCGAGUUCCGUGGUUCUAGCACGGUCACUCAACUGUUAUUAUUGGCUCAAUUAUCUAAUUUUAGAAAACUUUCAAACCUAUGUGCAUUUUACUUUUAAACCGCUUUUAUUCGUUUUAAGAAAUAUUUCAACGUCAUCUAAAACACGUCUUUGGACCAUGCCACAUGAAAUGCACCUGCAGUCCGAGACAAAUUUUAUUUAACGUUGUUAUGAUUUAGAUUUGGGUCACAUGAAAUGCACACCCGAGUUUAUGAAUGUAAUUUUUUAAAUAGCACGCCUAAAGCAACUAUACACUUUCAACUUUGCGAGGGCCAUGGAAAAUUCAACUAGUGGUACACCUCGAUUUCUAAAGGGUUAAAAUAAAUCAAGUGAGGGCCAUGAAUUUUGGGAUUUUAUUCAGCAUGGUGCACCUCAAAUUAUUUUAAAAGAUUGUGCUCAACUAAAACAAACUACGAAUGUUCAUUACAAUAUGGGUAUUUUUGUUUGGAUCAAUUUACCUGUUUCAAAACAAUCUCAUAUCACAAUCAGAAUUAGUGUCUUGUUAAUGUCCAAAAUAUAUUGAGCAAAUAAAACCAUCAUUUCAUUGAAUUGACUAUAUUUUACCAUUUGUCUAAGAAUAAAUUUCCUAAAUAAUUCAAACCAAACAGGCCAAGAAACAGUACACUUUCUUAUUUGUACCCACAUAUUUUCCUAGCGAAAAGAUUAAUCUUUACAAAUUCUUUAACAAUCAGAUUUAGAACCUUUAUCAAAACCAAAAAUAAAAUCACAAUACCAAAGCAUAAUACAGUAGAAGCCAAUAGUAAAUAUUUAUUAAAGAACUAAGUAAAUAAAACAAGAUACUAAAUAAAAAACAAAUCCAAAUGAAAACGAAAAAAGAGACUUACGAACUGUUUGAAAAUUCUCUUGUAAAUCAAGACAAAGACAUCAACGGGAAUAAUGAACCCGAAUCCAGAACCACGACCGGAGACGCCGAAUGGAACAACCAACAAGCGACCUCGAAUCUUACUCGAACAGGAGAGGUGAUGGAGUUACGUGCUCAUAGUUUCUGCUGGAUUUCCGGCCAGUUAUCGAAGCUAUUGUUGCUGGUUUCCAGCAGGUUUUGGUGUGAGGUAAUGGAGUUAAUAUCGUGGUUUGGUGGAGAUUUUGCAAUGAGCAGAAGCGUUUGGUGUUCUGGUUCAUUGUUUCUCGGCUGGAGCUCGUUAAUCCGACGAGCUACUGGAGCUCAUUUUUCCAGCGAGCUGCUGGAGGAGGAAGACAAAAAGAGCAGCAACUACUCUCGAUAGGUGAUUAGCGGUUGAAGCUUCCGUGCUGGGUUAGGGGUCCUAGGAUUGUUGCUGUAUGCUCAAGGUUGAAGAAGAUGAAGAUCGUGGGGUCUCUAUGGUUUUGGUUCGCUGGUUUUUCCAGAAGAAGAAGAUCGACGAUGGGGUGUGGUUCUGUUCUUUUUUGUUCUUGCGGCUGAAGCUCUAUGUCCUAGGGUUAGCUUCUUGUAUCCAUGAAGAAGAAGAUAGGUUAGGGGAAAGGUCAUUUUUGUGUGUAUGGCAGCUGUCUCUGGAAUUUCGGGGUGAGGUCUGAAGCUUCAGCUAAGUUCCAUGGAGAAAAGUUGCUCGUUCUCCUCCCUUUUUCAGAUCUCAGUAUUUUGUGUCUAUUCCCC